rnacentral:rRNA from 1 species
GCCUUGUACACACCGCCCGUCACACCACGAGAGUUUGUAACACCCGAAGUCGGUGAGGUAACCUUUUUGGAGCCAGCCGCCUAAGGUGGGAUAGAUGAUUGGGGUGAAGUCGUAACAAGGUAGCCGUAUCGGAAGGUGCGGCUGGAUCACCUCCUUU